rnacentral:lncRNA from 12 species
CAGGGAGUUUCCUUUGCAGAAGGCUGCUGUUCAUCUACUGUGCCCUGGGGAGCCAGAUGUCACGUCUUGCAGCUAGGUGUGCCGUUAGAAGGAGUCAGUCUUGGAGAGACUCUAACUUUAUUCUUGGGACCUUAAUGCCCAUGUGAGGCUCCUUUUAAGGAAAGCUGGCUGCUUGAGGCCACCACCGUGGAGCAGGAGUGGGCCACGAACCCAAGGACAGCCAGCUGUGGAUUGACCAGCAGCCACACUUUGUAUGGGGAGCGAGUCGGUGCUCUCUUGUAUGUGGCUGCCUGGGCUGUUGCUGUUUGUUUAUUCAGGAAGGUUAACUAUGGAGAGGUAGGAACUCAGAUCGCUUCCUAGUGUACUGAUCUGAGGUCAUUUUUAAAUGUAAGCAACUGAUCUAUGGAGCCUGGAAUAUAGAUUAAAAUUCAUUUCACGAGGAGAC